UACGUAGGUGGCAAGCGUUGUCCGGAUUUACUGGGCGUAAAGAGCGCGCAGGCGGUCGAUCAGUCGCGUGUGAAAGCCCCGGCUCAACUGGGGAGGUCACGCGAUACUGACCGACUCGAAGGCAGGAGAGGGUAGUGGAAUUCCCGGUGUAGUGGUGAAAUGCGUAGAUAUCGGGAGGAACACCAGUGGCGAAGGCGACUACCUGGCCUGUUCUUGACGCUGAGGCGCGAAAGCUAGGGAGCAACGGG
rnacentral:rRNA from 1 species